rnacentral:lncRNA from 1 species
UUAAUUCCACUCGAUCCAAAGACCAACAUUCAAUCCCCCUUAUAGUAUUUAAAACCCCAAUUACCCGAUUUUUGCCCCCAUUUUUGCCCUAGUCUCUUCUCUUCCACUUCUCUCUUCACUCCCUCCCGUCCCUCAGACCUCUCUACUGGCCGCACAGUGGCUCCGCCGGCCGGAAAUCUCCAAUACUAGCCGGUCACCUCCAAUCACCACCAAAUUUUCAUUCCCCCUUAAUCUCAAUCCCCUCUUUCCCAUUACAAACUGCAAAUCCUCUAAACCCGCACCAAUCUCCACGAAUCUAGAAAAAACUGAAACCCUAGUCGCCCUUUUUUCCUCAAAUUCAUGAAGUUCUAGAUCACCCGAUGCUACAAUACCGACAUCAAUGGGUAGAGCUUCUCAAGACUUACCUAUUGAUGUCAAUUUCACUCUGAAACUCUGGCAAUAAAUUUUUUGACCACCCCCACCGCCAAUCCACCCUGCAACCACUACUGGCCCUUUAUUUUAGCCUAUUCCCGACCAAAAAUGCUCGUUUCUCUCUAGCACAACACUAGAAUUCAUUGGUUUAUGCGCGUGCUAGAAAAAAUGUCUGUUUCAAGGUCGGGCAGUUAUGGCUCGUCGUCCUUGGAAUCUCAUCGCUACUCGAAUUGGCGUCGAAUUCUCUCGUGUGGUAUAACUCUACCUCCAUCGUCUUUUCUUUUUCUGUUUUUUGUUAGUCAUUAGGUUUAGGUUUCAUUAAUUUCUUUGCUCGUUCUCUUUUUAUAUUACUGAUUCCUUGGUUUUAUAUGUAUGUCUGUACUAGUUAUAUUACUUAGUCGUUUAUCCUUAGCUUGUUUGGCUUAGACUUUGUUUGAUCAUUCACUGUAGUUACGUGUAAAUAUAUUAGGUUAGUAUAUGUUAAUCAUGAUUUCUUUUUUUCUUACCAGAUGGUAUAGUCUAUGAUUAUGAUAGAUUAAUUAAUAUUUGGUUCCAUUUAAACUAAUGUUUAGCCUUUUAGGUCCAAUAUGUUCAGUGUUUAGUCUAGUCUCGUUGCUGCAUUUUUGUGUUAAAUUAUUUGCUUAGCUAUAAAUAAAGCAAUCGAUUUAUUUGUGAUUAGGUUUAGGUUCUCAUUUCAGGUUUAGUAUUUCUGGUUUUGUAUAUGUUUAAGCUAAUUAGUUUAAGGCCUUAACUACAUAUUUUGUUUGAUUGUGGUCAUUAGGUUCUUUUGUUAGUUAAUGGUUCCAGUCUAGUUAUCUGAUUUUGCACCUCGUACUACUUUGAAGUACUAGUUUAGUUUGAUAUUGUUUUGUGAGGGUAGUAAAAGGAGGGUACUUGAGUAUAUGGCCUUUGUUAGGUUGCUUUUUACUUUUAGGGACUGUUUUACUCCAAAAUUCUAUCUACAGUUGAUAAGAAAACUGUUUCUUGGGUAGAUUUUUGGGUUUGGACAGAUUUUCUGUCAAAAAAAUUAUAAUUUUGGAUAGAUUGCACCAAGAAGUCCUUCCUCUCCUAUGUAAAGAGAAGUUCUUUCCUCACUUAGAAUACACAUCUCUACUCAUGGAAAAAAGAACAUAAUUUUGGGAGAAAAGUUUCAGUUGAAACUUCUUUUAGUAAGCUGAAAUUAUGAGCUUUAGGAGUGAGUCUUAGAGUGCAUAAUCUUUUCAGAAAAAUAGAAGAAUCUUAGAGUUUGUUUCUAAGUUCCUUCUCUUGAAAAGUCACUAGUUUUACUAAGAUUUUUGGACUGCUUUAGCACUGGUGAUUUUUACUGAUGUUCCUACUGCUGUUUCUACUGAUUUUCUACUGAAUUUCUAUUGCUGUAUUUUAUUAUUCUGCAAAUCAGGUAACUAUCAAAUUCUUAUAUUGCAAAUUCGUGAUGAAAUAAGAAGGAUUUGACCAUGGUUUGGCUGUUGAAACAUGUUAGAUGUGACUUGGUUCCAAAGAUGAAUGUUAUAUUAGUGUUAUCAUCAUGUAAAUCUAUUAGAAGUUAAGCUAAAUUAUCAGUUCUUCUUUACAUAUGUGGUUAAGACUCUAUUCUGCAAAGUAUAUCUCGAACUGGGAAGUGUAUAUUUUUAUUCACAUUUUUACUUUAGUAAUUAAAGUUCAUUUGUCAUUUCAUUUUCAAUGUUUGAGUUUAGAUUGCAACACUGAUGUUAUAGGAGUGUCCAAUUUAAAAUAGUUCAGUUUCCUUGUGAACUAAUAUGUAGUUUUGGUUGUAAAUUAAUUCCAGUGUAGUUUGAACUUUGUAAGAAACCUUAUACCGGAUUGUAGUUUGUUAUUUUCUUUGGUCUUAUGAUUGCUUUGUUUCACUAAAUAUCAAGUUGGUGUUUUGAUUUUGCAUUUGAAUUAGAAGCAGUGGUUGAGUCGCGUCGUUGCUAUGCAUAAGUAGUAAAAGAUUGGUUUGAGUUUAGUUGGUUUCGUAAUAAGAUUGGAACUAAUGGAAAUGGGUCCAACUUCUUAUAAAAAAUUAGUAAAGUAGGCUGCCUCCUUUAAUAUCACCACAAGUCCACAUUUUAUUAGAUUUAAAUAAUGUAAAUUAGUAGAAAUAAUCUUCUUACACUAGUCUCAUCUUUUAAAUUAGUAAUAGCGAUAAUUGUAAAGCAAAUCCAAUUAACCAUACACUACCCAUAUGUAUGUUUUUUUA